ACGAGAGGUGCUUGCACCUUUCAAGCGAGUGGCGAACGGGUGAGUAACACGUGGAUAACCUGCCUCAAGGCUGGGGAUAACAUUUGGAAACAGAUGCUAAUACCGAAUAAAACUUAGUAUCGCAUGAUAUCAAGUUAAAAGGCGCUACGGCGUCACCUAGAGAUGGAUCCGCGGUGCAUUAGUUAGUUGGUGGGGUAAAGGCUUACCAAGACGAUGAUGCAUAGCCGAGUUGAGAGACUGAUCGGCCACAUUGGGACUGAGACACGGCCCAAACUCCUACGGGAGGCUGCAGUAGGGAAUCUUCCACAAUGGGCGCAAGCCUGAUGGAGCAACGCCGCGUGUGUGAUGAAGGCUUUCGGGUCGUAAAGCACUGUUGUAUGGGAAGAAAUGCUAAAAUAGGGAAUGAUUUUAGUUUGACGGUACCAUACCAGAAAGGGACGGCUAAAUACGUGCCAGCAGCCGCGGUAAUACGUAUGUCCCGAGCGUUAUCCGGAUUUAUUGGGCGUAAAGCGAGCGCAGACGGUUGAUUAAGUCUGAUGUGAAAGCCCGGAGCUCAACUCCGGAAUGGCAUUGGAAACUGGUUAACUUGAGUGUUGUAGAGGUAAGUGGAAUUCCAUGGGUAGC
rnacentral:rRNA from 1 species